rnacentral:misc_RNA from 1 species
UUUCAAUUUCCAAUUUGUGAGCUGCUAAAACUCCAAAGUCCAAACACAAAGGCAGAAAACUCCCCCCACAUUGCUGGAGGAACUACUUUGUUGCUUUCUUUCCUGACAUUCUUUGACCUACAUUUUUAUGUAAAGGAAAUCCAGAUUUAUAUUCAUCUCCAUUAUCAUUACCACAAAAACAGUUACAAAUGGUAGAGUAGAGAAGUAAAUGGUGGUUGAGCAUUCUCAGUGGCUCUGCUCUUCUUUCUCUUUGGUUUCUAUUGAGAGGAAGAUACUUCAGAUGCCCUAUCAGAAGCAACACUCUAGGAUAUGAUUGAUCAAUUCAUCAAUUUUGUCAUCCGCCCUCCCAGGGCCAAUUAUAACCCAGAUCAGUAUUUAUGGGAGAAGGAUUUCACUCUUGCUGGUAGAGCAUACAAGAGACAAGACUUGAAGCUAACAAAUGCAAGGGGUCAUACCUUGCAGUGUAGCCAUUAUGUGCCAUCACCUUUCCCUGAAGACACUCCUCUUCCUUGUGUUAUAAACUGCCAUGGAAACAGGAAGGCAAUGGUCAUUGAGAAAAUUUCUUUCAUUGGGAUAUUUCCAUGUGGUUUUGCAUAUAUAAUUAUAAAUGGAUGCAGGGCAGAUGCUAAUGAGGCUGCAGUAAUUCUUCUACCAUCAAAUAUUACUGUUUUUGCUCUUGAUUUUUCGGGUUCUGGCUUAUCUGAUGGUGAAUAUGUCAGCCUUGGUUGGCAUGAGAGAGAUGACCUCAAGGUUGUGGUUUCAUAUCUGAGAAGCAAUCAACAAAUAUUACGCAUAGGCCUCUGGGGACGAUGAAUGGGUGCAGUAACUUGGUGAAAUAUGACGCAGCCUUCUUUAUGGAGCAGAGGAUCCAUCCAUAGCUGGAAUGGUGUUGGACAGCGCCUUUGCAAAUUUAUUCGAUCUAAUGAUGGAACUUGUAGAUGUGUACAAAAUUCGGCUUCCAAAAUUUACUGUUAAGAUGGCAGUUCAGUACAUGCGGCGAGUAAUUCAAAAGAAGGCAAAAUUUGAUAUUAUGGAUCUUAACUGUCUAAAGGUUGCACCCAAAACAUUCAUUCCUGCUUUAUUUGGACAUGCUAGUGAGGACAAAUUCAUUCAGUCCCACCUCUCUGACCUCAUCUUUAUGUCAUAUGCAGGGGACAAAAAUAUGAUAAAGUUUGAUGGUGAUCAAAACUCCUCUCGACCACAGUUUUAUUAUGACUCAGUUUCCAUUUUCUUCUUCAUUGUCCUUUACCCAUGUCAUAGUUCUGCCUCUUCAAGUAAGCUUGACAAAUAUUACAAUUUGGGCGAUUUGAAGGCUGGCGGUGGCAUAGAUGAGGUGAUCUCCAUUUUUAUACAGUGCUUUUUGAGGAAGAUUAGAAUAUGAACACUGUAAAUUCAGCUGAUGAUUUAGUCAUUAGUACUUAACAAGUCCAACGCUUUUUGCAUCCUCUUACUGUGUUUUGUUCACUGGUCUUUCUUAUCAUCUCUGUGCUUAUAAUUCUGGGCAAUCCAUUUCAACUCUGUAGCCAUAAGAUGCUCAAUACCCAGAGUAGAUGAUGGAUAGUUAUAGUUUACUUGGUUAAUUUCAUGGCAUGUUAAAAAUAUCUCUAUUUCUAUUCCUAUGACGGCUAGUUGGGUGUUUGAGAUAUCCCCAGCUAUGUAUGAGACACUCAUUUUUAUGAAAUUUGUAUAUUGUUUCUUAGUGGUUGGGCAAUCAAGGUUUUGUUGUUUGCGAUUCUUUUGAUGAUUUUUAUAUGCUUAAUAUAUAUGUGAUCUGCGCAUUUUAUUGUUGCAUUGUAAUGGUGUUUGAAAUCAAAUGUCAAAGCGCAUGUUGUUCUUUCAGUUAGUGAUAUAAGAAGAGUUGGUGGCUGUAAUCUUAAAGAAGAAAGUAAGCUUAUGGAUCUCUUUUUAUUGGGAAACUGUAAGCCAACCUAACAAGGCAUGUAUAAGAAAGAAGCUUUUAUUCCUUUUAAUCAAAGGCUAAGAAAAUACUAGAUUAUGUAAAUAUUUGUAGAAAUUGACUAUUCCUUUCCUAUUAAAUUAGCAAUAAUAGAUGGGAAAAUUUUUAACGAGUUCAAAAUAAUUAUAAUUUUUCCUUAAUAGCAAACUAAUCAAAACUCUUAGAAAAAUUCAAAAGAAAAAUAAAAAUAAAAAGGGAACACUUUUUGAACUAAGAAUUAAUGAAAAUAGCAAUCAAAAUUUCAUUUUUCUUAGCUCCCUGUGAUUGGUAAUGAAUCAUUUUAUCGCUUCUACUAUCAUCUGAAAUGCCUAUGAGUUUUAAUGUCAGCAGUGCAUUACAGAGAAGAAGGGGUUGAUAGUACAAUUUGCUCUUCUAUAUUGGCACAAUGCAGAAACUACAUGUCCUUUAUUGAAAAUUUUUUAGCCAGGGACUAAUAAAGCUUUAGCCUCCUUUUUCCCUAGAGCCUCUUAUGUGAGAUAAUCACAGGCCUCCGCUCGGCAUGUGCUGAUGCUGCAAGUUCAUCUUCUGCAACUACUAGCAUUCCAACAACAAAACCCGUUAGUGAACUUCUUUCUGAAAUCAUGCCAAUUACUAGUAUAUUAGCGGGUAAGCCAAGUGGCCAGAUUGAGGAAUGUUGUUCAUAUACCAGCUCAAAUAGAGAAAGUUGGGGAAGAUGCUCUUCCCUCGGAGGUAGCGAUGAAGAAUCAUCUGUUAAAUGCGAAGCCACUGACAGCAGCCAUGAGAUGACUCAAAAGGCUUUGGCAACACCACUAAGGAGCAUGCAACAAGCCCCAAACUCAUCAGAGGAAGAAAAGAACAAGAAGAAUAAAGCUCUAACAGUUCCGAAGAAGCUCAAGAGUGAGAAAUUUGAAAGGCUAGAGGCCUUUAGUAAGCAGCUGCGCCGUUGCUUUCUAAAGCGAGUAAACCAUCAAAGACAUUGUUCUUCAUGACUGCUGUUGUACCAACAUGUUUAUAGUUGUAACUGUGUCAGGUUAACUUUAAAUGUCAUACCUUAUACCCUCUGCACGAAGUUAAUAGGUAUUGAUUCUCUUUCCGAUUUCUGGGUGCAUUGUGCCCAAGCUUCUUCUUGACGGUACCGGCUUUCUCUCUCUCUCAGCUGGGCGCAGAACCCUGCAAGAUAACCCAGCAGUGCAGUAUCAUAAAUUGAUGGUUACCGUUCUAGGGUUCUGCUGUUCAAAACCAACAAGUGAUGCAUACGAUUGUGACCAGCACAAUGAUGCAGAAUCGCUCAACUAUAACCUUGCAAGCCUGGUAACCCAUGAUUUGUAGCACUACUAAGCAUUUUCAAUACUGUGUCAGAAACUUUAAAUAUCUUAUAGCCAGCACGACAAAUUACAAUGCAUCAUCAAUGGAAGCAUUCCUUACCCAUGCUAACCAUGGCAAGGUACCUUUGAAUAACCAAAAGUCCAACAGAUGCAAGCAAUGAGAGGUCUAUUGUACAUAUCUUAACCAAUCCCGUGCCCAUUCACAAUGCAUGUCCACUUUUAGAUCAGUGAUCUCAAGCAUCUAUGGCAAAUCUAAAGGUAAUCACU